AAAGAAAUUCUGUUUAAUUUUGGGGCCUUUUUAAUUAAAGGAACACACUUAAAUGGUUAAUUGCAUCUUAGGCCCCUGGCAGAUGUUAAACUUAAGGAGGAGGAACUGGAGCUCAUACAUUAGGAUGUUUCCUGGCUUGUCCUUUGGGGUGUGUUGUAGGAUUUUGUUCUCAUCUGGCAACUAACUGGCUCCCGUUUAUACAUAAGUCUCCUUCUGGGAUUCCUCCUGUAGGGGUCAAAAGCUCAGCAUAACUUCCAGGAGCAGAUCCAGGGGCAGUGCAGUACAGUGAUCACAUCGCCGCAGCAGAACCAGGGUCUAAAAUCUCAAAAAAGGUAAGUACUCCCCUCUGCUCAAAACCAUGGCUCCUUCCCUUUCCUGACUGUUCAUGCUGUCCCUGGGGCAAGAGAAGGGACACAAUGCCCUUCCCAGUGAGCAGGCAUGUUCCCCCUGGGUGUUCUCUGCACCAGCCCAGAAGCAGGUAUUGUGGGGGGUGCGAAAAUGUGCCACCUGCUGCAGCUGCAGUCUCAGGUGAACACAGCAUGGCUGAAUUGUGACAGGAGCUCCCCUAACCUUGGGACAGUGCCAGCAACAGCAGGCAGGGGAGCUGAAGUCCUCAGCUGCUCCUACUGUGCCAUCUGUCUGCUAUGGGGUGAGGAGAGGAAGGGGGCAGAGACAGAAGGCUGGGAGUGGGGGGGGUACAACCCUCCUUUUUCAAAUCCUGUAUCCAUUUUUGAUAGCUUUUACAUGGGAGCCGAGAUGCUCUAGGAAGAAGGAAAACCAGAAAAGAUACCAAAUUUCUUGCCAUAAAACUACUACGCUGUGCAAGUAUGGGACUAUUUAUUUAUUUAUUUUUUUUAAGAUAGAUCGGACUGAGGGAGUAACUGGAAGAAUAUUUUAGCUUAAACCAGAAAAACUCCUUAGAUAGGAGAGAAAAUGGGUUUUUUAAGGUCCAAAAACUGAAAAGUGGCUUAAGGCCUCUUCUCAAGGCAGAGUCCCAGGAGGAAUCUCUACAUUUGCAAGAUAAGCCACAGUCUCUCCAGAAACCUGGACAAAACAAAGAGUCCUUGCACUACUUGUAAGCCUCGAUUCCACAGAAGGGGAUUUCUGUCACAUUCUGUCUACAUCACAGGUGGAGUACAAUUUCCAUGCUAUAUUUUGAUGACUUUACCAACGUGGAGACAGAGGUUGGCAGACAAUCCUGUUAGGGCACAAUCCUAGGGAUCAAAAGAAAAAUGCAUAUAGAAUACUGUUCAUCACUUGUCCAAAAUUUGGCUUUAAAAUUCCAGGAUAACAACAGCAAGUAAUAUGGAAGUUA